UCUCUGUACUCAGUGCCUGGAUUGGGUAUAGAAUACUGAUGAAGUGAUCUCUAGAGAAUGAGAAACCAACCCAGAGACUCAUUGAUAAAUUGUUGUUUGCCCCUCUGGAUAACUCCCCUAGCUAUUAUGUAGGACUUUGUUGCCUGAUAUUGAGAAUUGAGUCAGCCAAAAACAUUGGAAGUUUAAUGUUAUGAGACACAGGCAGCCAUUAUACCACACAGAAUCGAAAGUAAAUGCUAAGCCUUGCUAAUGGUACAGUGCAGCUCUGUCACUACUUUGUCAGGCACAGCUGCUAUAAGGAGAAAAAUCAUUAGAAAUGGGGCAAGUGAUCUCUGUGCUUAAUGGAGAUCAAAUUCCAUAUGCAUCCAUCUUAGUAGGUUGGAGAAUUUUCAUGAGGGAAAGAAUCAAGCUUUUAUAGCUCUGUUAGAUAUGGAUGCCCAAGUAAACUCUUCUACUGAACUCCUGGAAGGAGAAAGCAUCCGAAAUUAGGUAACAGGGUUUGGCCAGGUUUACAGCAGGAGAAAGAAAGAAGCCAAUAUGACCUUGUGAACAAAACUUUUUAGGCCAAUUCUGCGUACUGAUGCUGCUACCUUCACAUCUGAAUAUCACUGGGAACUGAUGCUUGUAUUUCCCUGUUUCAUAAGUGGCAGAUGAAAUUUCACCAUACACAGAUAAGUACGAGUGGGACACAUAAAUUUAUCUGUCACCAGGUUUCCUAUCGCUCCCUGGUUGAUCCAACACAAAGUAUAGAAUUCUAGGAAGAAAAAAGAAAAUCUGUGCCCUGAGUAAAUAUUAAUACCUAUAGGAGGCGGUAGUAAGAGAUCCAGGAUCUUUACAGAACAGCCUUGUAUGCCCAGUGCAAAAUCUAACCGGAGCUGAAGGCUGAUAGUGGAAUAUUUUCAAAUAAAUUCAGUUGUUUCUCCAGUGGCCCCAGCUGUUGCAGACAUCUUGACUCUAUCUGAAUCUACUACACAGACUAAUAGAACAUGGUACACUGUUUUAAACAUUGACAACACUUUCUUUCCCAUACUAGCAUCUGAGGAUUAAGAGCUGUUCACAUCCAUGUGACAAGGCCUCUAAUACAUGUUUGUUGUACUCCGCCAGUGUUACCUAAACUCCAGUGCCAUUUGCCAAAAUUGGAUAGGUUAGAAUUUGGUGGAAGUUCUUCUUCAUUCAGAUUUCCAAAAGUUUCACUAUACAUGACAUCCUGAUGGUUGGCAGUCAGAAGCCUCAGUCUCAAUAGCCCUACCUAGCUGUGGUAUUAUCACACAUCCUCUAGGAAGAAUGACUGAAAGUCUCCAAAAAAAAAAUCAGGAUUAAUAUUGAAAAUCACCAGCAAAAUUCAGGAGUAAUGUUGUUUGCCAGUAAUGUCUCUUGCUUGCCAGUAAUGUUUCCUGGAAGUAUGUAGGCAAAUUCACAAUAAAACCUCAGGCAAAGAAAAACUGUCUCUUCAGCACCCCCACCACCAAAAAGGAGUUUCAGCACCUAACUAGAUUCUUUGGAUAUUGGAAAUGCUUUGUGAUUGCUUGGACAUUCUGCUUGGUCCUUUAUAUUAGCUAACCCACAAAUCAGCAUCUUUUGAGUAAAGCCUGAAACGAAGUUCUGCCAUGGAAACAGUCCAGUAAGUUGUGUCAUGUUCUCUACCUUUGGAGCCCUACAAUUUUAAUGAUACUUUUGAGCUAUAUAAGUAUCUGUAACUGAUGAUUUUCCAAUUGCUGUCUCUGGAAAAGGGAAGCAAUCUUCACCUGGAGAUAUGUCUUGGGGUUUUGGACUCCUCUUCUUCCUCACAAGACUACCAGAAACACCACUUUUGAAAAGCAGCUAUUAUCUGUGAUAUGUUUUGGCUUUGUGUCCCCACCCGAAUCUCACCUUGAAUUGUAAUCCCCGUAAUCCCCAUGUGUCAAGGGCGGGACCAGGUGGAGGUAACUGAAUCCUGGGGGUGGUUCCCCCCGUGCUGUUAUUGUGAUAAUGAGUGAGUCUCAUGAGAUCUGAUGGUUUUAUCAGCAUCUGGCAUUUCCCCUGCUUGCACUUCUUCUUCCUGCCACCCUGUGAAGAAGGUACCUUUCUUCCCCUUCCCCUUCCACCAGUAUUGUAAGUUUCCUGAGGCUUUCCCAGCCAUGUGGAACUGAGUCAAUUAAACCUCUUUUCUUUAUAAAUUACCCAGACUUGGGUAUUUCUUCAUAGCAGCGUGAGAACUGACUAAUACAUUUUGCUACUGGGCUCAUUUCAGAACUGAACACCUGAACCAUGGAGGUCAGCCUUGCA
rnacentral:lncRNA from 10 species